AAAGAUUAAGCCAUGCAUGUCUAAGUAUAAGCAAUUAUACCGUGAAACUGCGAAUGGCUCAUUAAAUCAGUUAUCGUUUAUUUGAUAAUACCUUACUACUUGGAUAACCGUGGUAAUUCUAGAGCUAAUACAUGCUGAAAAUCCCGACUUCGGAAGGGAUGUGUUUAUUAGAUAAAAAACCAAUGCCCUUCGGGGCUUUUUGGUGAUUCAUGAUAACUUUACGGAUCGCAUAGCCUUGCGCUGGCGACGGUUCAUUCAAAUUUCUGCCCUAUCAACUUUCGAUGGUAAGGUGUUGGCUUACCAUGGUUU
rnacentral:rRNA from 1 species